AGCAACUCCCAAGUUCUAUUGAGCCAGGUUGAGUCACAACGUGUGGCCGUAGACUCAGCGGGUCUAUAAUACACUCCGGAUACAUAAAGAGACUUGUCCUUGGUUACUGAUGUUAAGAACACCUCUGUGGAGGUCCUAAACAGGGACAUGAUCCAUUUGAAGGCUGUCGCUCCGGGCUCGUUUCCAGAUGCUAUACAGACACACGCUAUCUGAAGAACGGACUAAUCCUCAUGUCAAAAGCUAUGGGACAUCAUUGAAACAAUUCCUGGUUCAUCAAAUCAUAAAAAGUUUGCUUUAAUAAAUUAGUGUGACCUUUGUAUUGCAUUCACCUAAAGUACAGCUUUUCUGUCCAGAUUGGAACUGUGUUACCUUCACUUCAUAUCAUUAACAGAGGUACUGGUAUGUCUGUACCUGAGUCAUAUCAUUAACAGAGGUACUGGUGUGUCUGUACCAGAGAGUCAUAUCAUUAACAGAGGUACUGGUGUGUCUGUACCAGAGAGUCAUAUCAUUAACAGAGGUACUGGUAUGUCUGUACCUGAGUCAUAUCAUUAACAGAGGUACUGGUGUGUCUGUACCAGAGAGUCAUAUCAUUAACAGAGGUACUGGUAUGUCUGUACCUGAGUCAUAUCAUUAACAGAGGUACUGGUAUGUCUGUACCUGAGUCAUAUCAUUAACAGAGGUACUGGUGUGUCUGUACCAGAGAGUCAUAUCAUUAACAGAGGUACUGGUGUGUCUGUACCAGAGAGUCAUAUCAUUAACAGAGGUACUGGUGUGUCUGUACUAGAGAGUCAUAUCAUUAACAGAGGUACUGGUAUGUCUGUACCUGAGUCAUAUCAUUAACAGAGGUACUGGUAUGUCUGUACCUGAGUCAUAUCAUUAACAGAGGUACUGGUAUGUCUGUACCUGAGUCAUAUCAUUAACAGAGGUACUGGUGUGUCUGUACCAGAGAGUCAUAUCAUUAACAGAGGUACUGGUAUGUCUGUACCUGAGUCAUAUCAUUAACAGAGGUACUGGUAUGUCUGUACCUGAGUCAUAUCAUUAACAGAGGUACUGGUGUGUCUGUACCAGAGAGUCAUAUCAUUAACAGAGGUACUGGUGUGUCUGUACCUGAGUCAUAUCAUUAACAGAGGUACUGGUGUGUCUGUACCUGAGUCAUAUCAUUAACAGAGGUACUGGUGUGUCUGUACCAGAGAGUCAUAUCAUUAACAGAGGUACUGGUGUGUCUGUACCAGAGAGUCAUAUCAUUAGAGGUACUGGUGUGUCUGUACCAGAGAGUCAUAUCAUUAACAGAGGUACUGGUGUGUCUGUACCUGAGUCAUAUCAUUAACAGAGGUACUGGUGUGUCUGUACCAGAGAGUCAUAUCAUUAACAGAGGUACUGGUGUGUCUGUACCAGAGAGUCAUAUCAUUAACAGAGGUACUGGUGUGUCUGUACCAGAGAGUCAUAUCAUUAACAGAGGUACUGGUAUGUCUGUACCUGAGUCAUAUCAUUAACAGAGGUACUGGUGUGUCUGUACCAGAGAGUCAUAUCAUUAACAUAGGUACUGGUGUGUCUGUACCAGAGAGUCAUAUCAUUAACAGAGGUACUGGUGUGUCUGUACCAGAGAGUCAUAUCAUUAACAGAGGUACUGGUAUGUCUGUACCUGAGUCAUAUCAUUAACAGAGGUACUGGUGUGUCUGUACCAGAGAGUCAUAUCAUUAACAGAGGUACUGGUGUGUCUGUACCAGAGAGUCAUAUCAUUAACAGAGGUACUGGUGUGUCUGUACCAGAGAGUCAUAUCAUUAACAGAGGUACUGGUGUGUCUGUACCAGAGAGUCAUAUCAUUAACAGAGGUACUGGUGUGUCUGUACCAGAGAGUCAUAUCAUUAACAGAGGUACUGCUGUGUCUGUACCUGAGUCAUAUCAUUAACAGAAGUACUGGUGUGUCUGUACCAGAGAGUCAUAUCAUUAACAGAGGUACUGGUAUGUCUGUACCUGAGUCAUAUCAUUAACAGAGGUACUGGUGUGUCUGUACCUGAGUCAUAUCAUUAACAGAGGUACUGGUGUGUCUGUACCAGAGAGUCAUAUCAUUAACAGAGGUACUGGUGUGUCUGUACCAGAGAGUCAUAUCAUUAACAGAGGUACUGGUGUGUCUGUACCAGAGAGUCAUAUCAUUAACAGAGGUACUGGUGUGUCUGUACCAGAGAGUCAUAUCAUUAACAGAGGUACUGGUGUGUCUGUACCUGAGAGUCAUCAUACAUUUUAUAUUUGAGAUUCUUCAAGUAGCCACCCUUUGUCUUGAUAACUUUGCACACUCUUGACAUUCUCUCAACCAGCUUCAUGAGGUAGUCACCUGGAAUGCAUUUCAAUUAACAGGUCUGCCUUGGUAAAAGUUCAUUUGUGGAAUUUCCUUCUUAAUGCGUUUGAGCCAAUCAGUUGCGUUGUGACAAGGUAGGGAUGGUAUACAGAAGAUAGGUCUAUUUGGUAAACUAUUAUGACAAGGUCACCUCAAAUAAGCAAUGAGAAACUAUAGUUCAUCAUUACUUUAGGACAAAGGUCAGUGAAUCUGGAAAAUGUCAAGAACUUUGAAAGGUUCUUCAAGUGCAGUCGCAAAAACCAUCAAGCGCUAUAAUGAAACUGGUUCUCAUGAGGACCACCACAGGAAAGGAAGACCCAGAGUUACCUCUGCUGCAGAGGAUAAGUUCAGUAGAGUUAACUGCACAGCAGAUUGCAUCCCAAAUAAAUGAUAGAGUUCAAGUGAGACACAUCAACUGUUCAGAAGAGACCGCGUGAAUCAGGCCUUCGUGGUCAAAUUGAAAGAGACUUUCUUUGGCCAAGAAACACAAGCAAUGGACAUUAGACCGGUGGAAAUCUGUCCUUUGGUCUGAUGAGUCCAAAUUUUGGAUUUGAUUCCAACAGCCAUGUCUAUGUGAGAAGCAGAGAAGUUGAAAUUAUUAUCUCCACAUGUGUGGUUCCCACCGUGAAGCACGGAGGAGGUAUGAUGGUGGUUUGCUGGUGACACUGUCAGUCAUUAAUUUAGAAUUCAUGGCACACUUAACCAGCAUGGCUACCACAUCAUUCUGCAGCGAUACGCCAUCCCAUCUGGUUUGCGAUUAGGGGGACUAUCAUUUGUUUUUCAACAGGACAAUGACCCAACACACCUCCAGGCUAUUUUACCAAGAUUUUACCAAGAAGGAGAGUGAUGGAGUGCUGCAUCAGAUGACCUGGCCUCCACAAUCACCCAACCUCAACCCAAUUGAGAAGGUUUGGGAUGAGUUGGACCGCAGAGUGAAGGAAAAGCAGCCAACAAGUGCUCAGCAUAUGUGGGAACUCCUUCAAGACUAUUAGAAAAUAAUUCCAGGUGAAGCUGGUUGAGAGAAUGCCAAGAGUGUGCAAAGCUGUCAAGGCAAAAGGUGGUUACUUUGAAGAAUCUCAAAUAUAUUUUCCAUUUGUUUAACAGUUUUUAGUGUACGACAUGAUUCCAUGAGUGCUAUUUCAUAGUUUUGAUGUCUUCACUAUUAAUUUUAAAAUGUAGAAAAUGGUAAAGAAAAAGUAAAGAAAACCCCUUGAAUGACUCGGUGUCCAAACUUUA